CCCUUGGAUGAAGAAGAGAUGGUCUCGUAUAUUCUAACCAGUCUCGAUGUUGAUUACAAUCCGAUUGUUUCGGCUAUUGUUGCUCGUGUCGAACCUAUCACAGUUAAUAAACUCUAUGCUCAACUUUUAAGUUUUGAGA